CCUACGGGAGGCAGCAGUGGGGAAUAUUGCACAAUGGGCGAAACCCUGAUGCAGCAACGCCGCGUGAAUGAAGAAGUCUUUCGGGUUGUAAAGCUCUAUCAGUAGGGAAGAAGAACGACUGUACCUUACUAAGAAGCCCCGGCUAAGUACGUGCCAGCAGCCGCGGUAAUACGUAGGGGGCAAGCGUUAUCCGGAUUUACUGGGUGUAAAGGGAUCGUAGUCGGCUGUGCAAGUCUGAAGUGAAAGCCCGUGGCUCAACCGCGGAACUGCAUUGGAGACUGGAUAGCUUGAGUACUGUAGAGGGAGGCGGAAGUCCUGGUGUAGCGGUGAAAUGCGUAGAGAUCAGGAGGAACACCAGUGGCGAAGGCGGCCUGCUGGACAGAAACUGACGUUGAGGUUCGAAAGCGUGGGGAGCAAACAGGAUUAGAUACCCGGGUAGUC
rnacentral:rRNA from 1 species